rnacentral:rRNA from 1 species
UACGUAGGCAGCAAGCGUUGUUCGGAGUUACUGGGCGUAAAGGGUGUGUAGGCGGUUGGAUAAGUGUGGUGUGAAAUCUCCCGGCUUAACUGGGAGGGUGCCUCGGAAACUGCCAGGCUUGAGGCAGGGAGAGGGAUGUGGAAUUCCCGGUGUAGUGGUGAAAUGCGUAGAUAUCGGGAGGAACACCAGUGGCGAAGGCGGCAUCCUGGCCCUGUCCUGACGCUCAGGGGCGAAAGCGUGGGGAGCAAACCGG